CCACCAGGCCAGAAGCUUCUUCUCAUGGCUGAAGAUGUGAAGGCUACCAGAGGGAAGCUGUCUUUCCUACAAAGGCUUGCCAGACUGAAAUUCGACUUAAAGCCAUUCAUGAUGGGAAACAAGAAUGAUUCCAAGAAGAAUUCCCGCCAUUCUGAAUCCAAAGACCAGACUACUGCUGAAGAUAUCAUAUUGGCACAUCCUGGACUCCCAGAGGGUCUUCCCUCCACCUCUCAACAGGAGAAGCCUCGCAAACGUCCCCUUCUAAUCAGGAUGUUUUCCACCAUCUCCAUAG